rnacentral:rRNA from 1 species
AAUGGCACUGCCCGGUAGCUAAAUGCGGAAGAGAUAAGUGCUGAAAGCAUCUAAGCACGAAACUUGCCCCGAGAUGAGUUCUCCCUGAGACUUAAAGUCUCCUGAAGGAACGUUAAAGACGAUGACGUUGAUAGGUCGGGUGUGUAAGCGCAGCGAUGCGUUGAGCUAACCGAUACUAAUGAACCGUGAGGCUUAACCUUACAACGCCGAAG